AUCCUCUCAAGGCCAAUUGGCUAAGAUCAUGUGUAGUUUCUGUUCUUUAUAGCUUGACAGCUGUAAGUGCCUCAAGGGCACAAUUUUAUCUGUCAUACUUAUUUUUGGAGCCGCAGCAGUGCUCAGCGCAAUGCUGGCGCUGCGCGGGUGUCCCCUGCACUGCAGUAUCGCUCGGUGACGCUCAGGUAUC
rnacentral:snRNA from 1 species